UACGUAGGGUGCGAGCGUUAAUCGGAAUUACUGGGCGUAAAGCGUGCGCAGGCGGUUUUGUAAGCCCGAUGUGAAAUCCCCGGGCUUAACCUGGGAAUGGCAUUUGGGACUGCAAGGCUUGAGUUUGGCAGAGGAGACUGGAAUUCCUGGUGUAGCAGUGAAAUGCGCAGAUAUCAGGAGGAACACCGGUGGCGAAGGCGGGUCUCUGGGCAGUAACUGACGCUGAGGAGCGAAAGCGUGGGGAGCGAACAGG
rnacentral:rRNA from 1 species